rfam:Treponema saccharophilum DSM 2985 Tsacc_Contig174, whole genome shotgun sequence.
GUUCCCUUCGUCUAGUGGUUAGGACGUUAGGUUUUCAUCCUAAGAACAGAAGUUCGAUUCUUCUAGGAAAUG